UACGUUCCCGGGCCUUGUACACACCGCCCGUCACACCACGAAAGCCGGCAACACCCGAAGCCGGUGUCCCAACCCGCAAGGGAGGGAGCCGUCGAAGGUGGGGUUGGUGAUUGGGGUG
rnacentral:rRNA from 1 species